rnacentral:rRNA from 1 species
CGGAUCUCUUGGCUCUCGCAUCGAUGAAGAACGCAGCGAAAUGCGAUAAGUAAUGUGAAUUGCAGAAUUCAGUGAAUCAUCGAAUCUUUGAACGCACCUUGCGCUCCUUGGUAUUCUGAGGAGCAUGCCUGUUUGAGUGUCAUGAAAUGCUCAACUGCUUUAGCUUUUGUGGUUGAAGUAAAGUUGGAUUUGGAGGAAUAAUUGCUGGCGUAACCUUUUAAGGUUGCUUGUUAGCUCCUCUUAAAUGGAUGAACUUUCCAGUAGUGUAAAAGUAACACCAAUGUGAUAAUUAUCUACGUUGGAUGAACUUGUACAAGGAAAGAUGAAUCUGUCUUGGGGACCCCCUUGACAAAACAAAUGACAAAUUUGACCUCAAAUCAGGUAGGAUUACCCGCUGAACUUAAGCAUAUCAAUAAG